rnacentral:rRNA from 1 species
UGGGGAAUAUUGCACAAUGGGCGCAAGCCUGAUGCAGCCAUGCCGCGUGUAUGAAGAAGGCCUUCGGGCUGUAAAGUACUUUCAGCGGGGAGGAAGGGAGUAAAGUUAAUACCUUUGCUCAUUGACGUUACCCGCAGAAGAAGCACCGGCUAACUCCGUGCCAGCAGCCGCGGUAAUACGGAGGGUGCAAGCGUUAAUCGGAAUUACUGGGCGUAAAGCGCACGCAGGCGGUUUGUUAAGUCAGAUGUGAAAUCCCCGGGCUCAACCUGGGAACUGCAUCUGAUACUGGCAAGCUUGAGUCUCGUAGAGGGGGGUAGAAUUCCAGGUGUAGCGGUGAAAUGCGUAGAGAUCUGGAGGAAUACCGGUGGCGAAGGCGGCCCCCUGGACGAAGACUGACGCUCAGGUGCGAAAGCGUGGGGAGCAAACAGG